rnacentral:rRNA from 1 species
AUUGAACGCUGGCGGCAUGCCUUACACAUGCAAGUCGAACGGCAGCACGGGAGCAAUCCUGGUGGCGAGUGGCGAACGGGUGAGUAAUAUAUCGGAACGUGCCCAGUCGUGGGGAUAACGCAGCGAAAGCUGUGCUAAUACCGCAUACGAUCUCUGGAUGAAAGCGGGGGGACUCAGCAAUGGGCCUCGCGCGAUUGGAGCGGCCGAUAUCAGAUUAGCUAGUUGGUGGGGUAAAGCCCACCAAGGCGACGAUCUGUAGCUGGUCUGAGAGGACGACCAGCCACACUGGAACUGAGACACGGUCCAGACUCCUACGGGAGGCAGCAGUGGGGAAUUUUGGACAAUGGGCGGAAAGACCUGAUCCAGCAAUGCCGCGUGCAGGAU